GCUUCCUCCCUCCUUCCUGCCCCUCAGGGCUUUGGCUGCUCUCUGCUCAGUCUCUGAAGGCCAGGAUGAGCUCCCCAUGGCAGCUGCUCUGGCUCCUGGUGCUCUGGGCUCAGGAUUCCCAAGGAGCCAUUGUGCUGACCCAGUCUCCAGCCUCCUUGUCCGCAUCUCCAGGAGAGAGAGUCACCAUCAGCUGCAAGGCCAGUGAGAGUGUUACUAUUUCUAGUUAUAGCUACUUAAACUGGUACCAGCAGAAACCUGGCCAAGUCCCCAGGCUCCUCAUCUACUUGGCUAACAGGCUGGCAUCUGGGGUCCCUGCCCGGUUCAGUGGCAGUGGGUCUGGGACAGAUUUCAGACUCACCAUCAGCAGCCUGGAGCCUGAGGACGCUGCACAUUAUUACUGUCAGCAGGGUAGGAGCUCCCCUCUCCCACAGUGCUUUAGGCCCGAACAAAAACCUCCCCCGUGUGUCCAGGGGACUCAGCUCAGAGCAGCAGGUGCCUCCUCGGGGUCCCCAGGGCAGAGCAGCCCCUGCUCUCUGGGCAGGCUCACACCUCCCAGGGCUUCCCCUUUCUGGUCCCCCGGAUCCCUCCUUUCUAACUUGUGA